GCCCCUGUGGCGCAAUGGGCAAUGCAUCUUGCUGUUGACCCGAAGGUUGGUGGUUCGAGCCCACCAGGGGCG